UACGGGGGGGGCAAGCGUUGUUCGGAAUUACUGGGCGUAAAGGGCUCGUAGGCGGCCAACUAAGUCAGACGUGAAAUCCCUCGGCUUAACCGGGGAACUGCGUCUGAUACUGGAGGGCUUGAGUGCGGGAGAGGGAUGUGGAAUUCCAGGUGUAGCGGUGAAAUGCGUAGAUAUCUGGAGGAACACCGGUGGCGAAGGCGGCAUCCUGGACCGACACUGACGCUGAGGCGCGAAAGCUAGGGUAGCAAACGGG
rnacentral:rRNA from 1 species